UCCAUUGUUUAGAAGAAAGAAAAAAAUGUGUUCGCUUGCCCUGCCCUCAUUCCCCAUCCGCACAUCCCUCUCCCUCCCUCGUCUGCCGCCGCCACCACCACCACCGGCGACCUCCUCCAUGGUUGCCACCCCACCCCCUUCUCUCCCCCCUUACCUUCUCCUCAUCAGCGACCUCCUUCCCUCCCCCUCACCGGAUCCGAGGCGUGCGGGCGCGGAGGCGAGCUUCUUCAGCGGUGUCCGCCUCCCUCUCAUCUCCUCUGCUACUGCUCCGCCUCUCCAACCGCCCCGGGUCGCAGCCGCACCGCACGACGGCAGGCCAGGCGAGCUGCACCGCACCAGGUGGGCUAGGGCGAUCUCCAACGCGAGCGCGCGCACCCGUUGCCCACGCCAGCGUGGUCCCCGGCCCCGAGCAACAGGAACACAUGGUUCCUACCCGGGUCGCCGUAGCCGACACCGUCAAAGAGAGGUGGCGGUGUGGACAAGGACGCCAUGGCUGUCUUCGCCGAGAGCGUCCGCAUCUUCAUCCACUGUCUCUCCACCAUGACCAUGAGUAGGGUUGCUCAUCAUUAAGAAGUGUGUUUGUUCAUGGAUAGUUGCACAGUGGAGGAAGAAUUUGGUUAUUUGGAGUGUGCACUGGAGUUAUUGGAAGAUAAUUCCAUUACUAGAUCACAACUUUUGGGACAUAAGUACAGAAGGUGUUUGAUGAAAGUUCAGCAACAUCCAAGCAUGCUCAACUCCAGUUCGCCAACACUCAAAAUUUAAACAAAACGAGAACAUCGAGUGUGCACUACUGAUGCCAUCAUGAAAGGUUUCCCUACAAAUAAAAACCAUAAGUUUCAGAAAUACGACAAGAAGGUCAUGGGUAAGACAAGACAGCAGAUGGCUUUGUUUAUCAAUCAAGGUUGUCGUACAUACGAUUAGCUUGUACAUGCAUCGGAAAUUCACAUUUGUCAUCCUUUAAUUUUGCUAUCACAUGGUGUGUUGUGUGAGUUAACAGGGAUCAACUGAACUAUUUUUCAGUUUGCAUCCUCUGUUUUUUCACGGUUCUUUCAGGAUUUGCUUGUUCACAAAUUUCUGUGUUGUUUCUGCAGGCAUUAUUAUGUCACCAUGAACAUUGGGGAUCCGGCCAAGCCUUACUUCCUGGGUAGCCCAAGUUUGCUUGACUGUUGGUUGUGCAGUCCUUUAUUCUGUAACUGUACCUUGACUAUCAAGGCAUGCAGUGCCAUUUGUUUCUUGUAAACUUGUCUUACCUUUCAUGCAUUUGUCUGUUUAGAUAUUGUAAUUUGAUUUCCCGCUUCUCCGUAGAACAAAGGAGGAGGUAUGGCAUGCAAUCUAUUGGAAAUGUGUUGAUGUACUUCUUAACAGGAAGGUUGUUGACAAUAACCACACGUAAUUUUCUGGCAUCUAUGCUAUUCUCUGUACUAACACAUGCUGGUGUUGCUGUCAGUCUUCCAUGGCAGGUCUGAAAGUUGGGAAUAGAAGCAUAAAUAUGAGAAAAUCAACGAAAUAAAAAUUGCUACCAUUUAGGCAUCUUAUUUAUUGUAUUCUCUUACAUGUAGGUCCUCUGUCAUGAAUAUCCUACUGAAUUUGCAUCUUAUUUUCAUUACUACCGCUCACUGCGUUAUGAAAAUACGUCAGACUAUCAGAUCUCAAGAAAUUGUUCUGCUUGAGAGUGCAGAUGGCGUAAGGCAGGAAAGGAAAAAGGCUUUUUGUGGUGAUCGGGAUCAAUACCGCCUUCGGUAGCAAGAAGCGUCGUGAUUCUGUCAGGGGGACCUGGAUGCCUCAAGGUGAGAAACUCAAGAAAUUGGAAGAGGAAAGGGGAGUCGUCAUUUGAUUUAUGACCGCUUCAUUUCGUGUUUCCUCUGUGUGGUGUGAGGUGCGUGUUGUUUUGAGAGCUUGAAGCAAGCAGAACGCCUAAGGAGCGUCCUGGGGAUGACAGAGGCAUUGGCGACGACAUCAGGCGAGAGAUGAAGACGACAUCGAUCAAGAGCUGCUUGCACAACCAGAGGCGGCAUGGGCUCAACGCAAGUGGACCAUCAUCCAGCACGUCUUGUUCCUGUCCAUGCGACAUUUCCUCAUACAUGAGGGCUACAUCAUUUACAAAUUUUGAUUAUGUACGCCUACAAGGUAUUUGUUGAAAAUCCCAGAGGGCUGGCAGGGAAGGAGUGGUCUAUAUAAGCCAUGUGAUUCCAUUCUUCAAAAAAUCAGUACCAGACAAUCAUAACAAGAUGAUUUUGAGAUUAACGAGAAUCCAUGAGAUGAAUAAAAGUAUGAAGAAACAAGGAAUUCUGUCACAGGAGAAACUGUGGUACAACACUUCAACACGGCACAGGAGGCAGAUCAGGGCAACUUCAAGGAUAAGGCAACAUCUGCAGACCUGGAGGUGGUUGAGGUGACCUUGCUGUUGGAGUGGUUUGCCGAAAAUUAUCGGCAGUUUGGUUGCACGCUGGAGCUUAUCACAAACAACACACAGGAUCUCAGUUCUGUACGGGCUAUGGUGGGAUAGGAGGGAUCCUGCGCUACCGGGUUGAGGUGAACGCUUACGAAGACACACUUGAUAAGGAGUAUGAUGAAGACUUUGAAGACCAGUCAACUGAAACUCCAGUGAAUUCAGUACAGGAGGAGCAUGUCCUAGCCCGGAACCGGAACGCGCUACGCGCCACAGCAGGAGGCUGAGGCAUCUACAAGCUCAUCGAGGAAAGCUUAAGGAAGACAACGAGAAGACUUGAGAAAUGAUGAUAUAAAGUAUGCUGCUGUUGCAUGAGUUAAGUCCUCUCAGCGUGAUCUAGACAAAUCUAAGACAAGUAAUUUGGGAUGGAGGUAAUACAAACCAAAGUAAUUUUGCCCAACAAUCACCAAGCCACAUACAUGCGACAUUGUACCGAGUAGGCAAUCCAACUUUCUUUUGACAGUGAGUAGGAAAAAAAUGGCAUGACUUCAAGUGCGACCACUAGAACUGUGUGAGAUACCCUUUUUUGUAAUAGAUGAUGCGUCAUCAACACAUCCUGAUAGUGAGCUGUGUUUGAACCUAUGGAGAUUGCUUCUGUAGACAAGCUUUACAAGAUCUUCGAGAGAGGCCAGCUAACACGUAGGCCAUCAGUCACUUCAUAUGUAGAGAAGGGAUGGACAGCGCGACUGACGCCUUUGCUGGUUCCUUCUGGCACGUGUAUAUAUAAUGUGGUGGCACUAUCAAAGUUGAAGUACUGAUUGUGCCCAUUCCAAAUGAACUGUUUCUCUGAACUUUGUUCUUAAAUAGACACAUCGGGUCAUCCCUCCUCGGUAAAGGGGUUAGUUUGUUUGUUCUUUCAUCAGCUCACUCCAAGCUUGAUUACAUGGAGCAUUAUGAAAAGGUUCCUUGGAUCUUCUUGGUCUGCAACAA